ensembl:lncRNA
GUGAGGGCAUCUCCCCCGCUGUAUCCCCGUUCGGCCCCUGCGGGGUCCCUCUCUGGAGCACCCUUCGCCCAACCCGAGCAUCCCCCCGCGCCUCUCUCUGCUCCCGGGCAGCCACGCUUUGGAAGCUGCUUUAUUUCAAAGGCAGCUUUAAAGCGAGUUUCGAGGAAGCCGCCUCCUUUCCUCCUAAUUUUGAUUUGAGCUUCACAACGGGGUGGCGAGCGAAGGAGAUAAACAGUAGGUGAAGAACGGUGGUGAGCCCGAUAGCGAUCUGCACCUAAUCGUUCCGACUGCGUGCGCGGCUGACUCAGCGCCUCGUUGCCCUGUGCUUAGAGAGCCGCAGCGCGUUUACACGGCUUUGUUUGUGCUCCCCGGCGUUUCCACACGCCGACUUGGAAGUUGGCGUUUUAGGUAGCAGCCACCGAUUCCGCAUCGCUUUCAGCCGUCCAAAGUUGCCGGGCGCGCCGCUUGUCUCACUGACACCGGCACGAUCGCUGCUCCCACCCCGUGCGGAGCCACUGAGACCCUCUUACAACGUGGAGCACACCUGGAGUUAAGAGAGUUUUAAGCCUGUCCUUAUCGCGCACGGCGCGCUGCGUUCACCCAUUUGCUCUCAGACAGCGCUUUUGAACGCUCGAUCCCGAAAUUGCUCCUGCAGGAACACCAGAGGCAGGACUUGCACAGCAGCUGCUGGCAGCUCUGGGCAGAGGGUGCUGAUGGGGUCCCGACUACUUCCAGCCGUAAAGGAAAGUUCACAACGCAGCCCAUCUCGACUUGCAAAGAGACAGAUUUGCAGAGAUGAUGCAGCCUGGGAACGCUGAUAAGAACAGCAGACAAAGAUGUCAUCGAGUUAAAAAAAAGAGUUGGGGUGGUUCCUUGCUAGGACCUGAACACCAAAUGACUAUUGCCUAGGAUCCAAAGGGGAGACGUAAGCUUGCUGCAGAAUUCCUGGUCAGACUUGGAUGGUCCAGAACUGGCAGCCAAAUGCCUCUUGAGCACAAAGCCGAUCAGGACGUGUAAGCUUCCCUCCCUUCUCUCAAGUGCCAAAAUCAGAGUGGAUGGAGACUGCUGACUGCCUCGGGUCCAGGCUUUCCUGCUGGAGAAGUUGCCUCUAGCUUUUAUUCAAGAGAAUUCAUUUUGUCCAAACGAGUGAACCUUCACAUCGCUCCCAUCUCUGUCUUGUACAGGCUUUAUGGUGUGGUUCAAUAGCUCACGGUUAGGAAAGAAGAAGGUGUCUUCCCAUUCUACAGGAUUCUUCUACAAGCUCUUCAAAUGUCACUCGGCAAAGAUCAGGAAUCCUUCACUGACGUCCCCACAGUCUGGGCUGCUCUCACUCACCCACAUUCUGCCCCUUUCUGUUGUCCCGUGGAUGGCUAAGAAGCGGGGGCUGAGUGCCCUCUAAUCCAGUGGUUAAGGGCCUCACUGCGGAACGAUAAAUCAGAUUGUACGUUCUUGCAGUAGGUCAUGAAGCUUUUUAACCAGGAGAUCUUUUCAGAGGCGGAGAGAUCUCUAAAGAUUUUUACGUUUAAAUUCAAUUUCAGUUUUAAACUGCCCCCGAGUUUGUCUUCACGUUUCACUUCUUCAGGCUGUCCAGCAGGCAUAGAUGAUGAUUAUUAUUUUUUUUUCCCUGGAAUAAAAACAUUUUAAUGACCAGUUUUGUUCAGGGAUGAUUCAUACUCUUAAACCACCCAAGGUUGUUCUCUUAGUCACGGGUGUUAGACAGGUCCCAAAAAAUCCAUGCCAUUUUGAAGACAAGGUCUUCGAUUUCACUGGAUAAGAUUGUGGUUUGGAUACCUCUGGCAGGCACUUCAGGAUACCUAAGUGUGCACAAGGAGACUAAAAAGACUGGAGUUAAGUGUUUAGGCUGUUCCCUUCUGAAGAAAAGCAAAGUGUAAGUCUUUGCCUUUUCACUCUAAUGACUUUUUUAGGUUGACUACAAACAAAACAGGAGACCCUUAAUGGAAGGAAUUUAUGUCCCCUUUACUGAACAUAAAUUCAUAGCCUUUUCUUCUAUAUGGACAGUAUCUUGCUUAUCUGUAAGACUGUCUGGGUUCUGUUCAAUUAUGAAGAACCAAAAUACCGAAGUCACUCAGGGAAGGUCAAAGUUAAUGGUCAUGAGCCACUUCAGGUGGCCAAGUGACAGAGGAUGUCUGUGCCUACAUCGUAUACCUACAUUAGUACCCGCACCUACAUUUUAGUUCAGAUCAGCAGUGCAACAGCUUUGCAAGAACAUCUCUUCACCCACUGCACUUUGGUUUCCACUGAGCAGUUUCAGAUGAGACCAAAUUGGAAGAUGCCCUUCUGCUGCCAAUGGGAGUGCUGUGCGAGAAGAGUUCAGCCUACAUCAGCUGGAUCCAGAGACUGUAAAAUCAGUGUUAUUUGGGACUCUUGAUUCAGACAGCUGACAGUUACACUUUUUGUAUCCAUUUCUUUCAGGUGCUUCAGGAAUGAGCUUUCCUACCUCUGGACAGUGACAGAACACUUCUGCUCCUACACGAUGAGUGUUCUGCUGGGAAAGGAGUCCCUCCACUUUGCGGUUGCUCUGUUUCAUGGGAAUGACUUGAGAGUACUAACAAUAAGCUUGGAUCUACCAAUGCAGAAAGUUAGAACCUGUCUCUUCCUGCUCUUCACCAACACUAAAAGCUGUGGUCAGAUUAGUCAGAUGAUCCAGAUGAAAGCUAACAGACCAAAAAAGAAGACUUCAGUUUUUACCAGCCACACAAACAUCCAUUCGUUUGUGAAUGCGGGUGUAUGAGAAGCAGGGAUAGGAUGAAGUCAAAGAGAAAGACAGGACCUUCCAUUUCAGCAGUGUCUCUGUCUGGAAUCAGCUAAGAUACCCAUGAAAUCUCAUCCCGUGUGACAGACAGAAAUUCAAACAAGGAAUCACAGAAUUGUAGGAGUUGGAAACAAAGACGACCUGUUUACCUAUUGGAGAGUAAAGCUGGGAUGGAUUUUGAAUUAUCAUGAAGUUAAAUUCUCCAUUGAGAGAGAAACAACGCUAGCAGCAGCUCACAAAGGCCAGCAGUCCUGCUGAUCAUGUUUUUAAAUGCCCUGGUGGCAUCUGUGAAUUAAGCAUUUCCUUUUUUUGCUUUGCGGCCAACGCAUAGUACGUUGAAAUCAGAUAGAUUUGGCAUAGAUCCAUCGUCACUGGCUGUUUCUCUGUAUACUAUGUUUACUUAAGACAAUGAAGUAUUGGAGAAAGAUGUUUGAGGCUGGUUGAGGAGUAUUAAGUAAUAUGCCUGCUCACUACAGAGAAGGCUGUAAUAAGCGUCCUCAGUCAAUAGCUUCUGGCCUGGAGCAUGAACAGUGCUUGAAUGGAGCCUAAAACUGCCAUUUUACCUCCAGAAAUGAAGAGAAAAAAAAAAAUGAUACUUCCAUGUUCACCCUAGCCUUUCUGUCACCCAGUAGACUGGAGGGAAAGUUCCUACUGCAGUAGCAUAGCUAGCCAGCAGGGGCAGCGGUGGCACAGGUAAAGGCUCCCAAAGAGACCUUUCGCUCUCUCCUUGCGCUGGUGGCUGUGCUAGUUGAGAAGUCCCUGUCAACUGGUCAGUCUGGAGAUUUCAUAUGUUCAGAACCAGAUGGGAGCUAGGGGGUAUGCUCUCCUGAUGUCGUUCCUCACCUUCCUCACAGGCAGAUCUCCAAAGCUUGAACUUCCAAGUCACAUCCCACCUCACGGUGCUUCCCACACUUUUCUUUCUGUGAUCUCAGGCUCUUCACAGUCAUAGAAUCACAGAAUGGCCUGGGUUGGAAGAGAGCUCAAGGAUCAUCACGUUCCAACCUACCUGUCAUAGGCAGGAUUGCCCACCACUAAAUCAAGUACUAGGUCAGGUUCCUCAGGGCUCCAUCCAACUUUGCUUCGAACACCUCCAGAGAUGGGGCAUCCACAGCCUCUCUGGGCAGCCUGUGCCAGCACCUCACCGCUCUCUCAGUAAAAAGCUUCCCCCUGACAUCUAAUGUAAUCUUCCCUCCUUUAGUUUAAAACCAGUCCCCCUUGUCCUAUAACUAUCUAUCAGUGCAAAAAAGUAGAGUUGCCUCCUGUUGCUAAUCUCUCUUUAAACAUUGGAACGCCGUAUUCCACAGCCUUGUCUUCUCAAGACUGAACAAGCCCAGCUCCUUCAGUCUGUCUUCAUAGGAGAGGUGCUCCAGCCCUCUGAUCAUCUUUGUGGCCCUCCUCUGGACCCUCUCCAAAAGCUCCACACCUUUCCUGUGUUGGGGGCCCCAGAUCUGCACACAGUACUUCAGAUAGGAUGUCACAAGGGCAGAGUAGAUAGGGACAGUCACCUCCCUCACUCUGCUGGCCACUCCUCUUCUGAUGGAGAGCCCAGGAUACCAUUGGCCUUCAGGACUGCAAUUGCACACUGCUGGCUCAUGCUAAGUUUUUCAUCUACCAGGACCACUGAGUCCUUCUCAGCAGAUCUGCUCUCAAGGAGUUCUUCCAGUCUGUAUACAUGGGAUUAUCCUGACUCAAGUACAAAACCUUGCACAUUGCUUUGUUGAACCUCACUGGUUCACAUGGGCCCACCUUUUGAGUUUAUCAAGGUCCCUCUGGAUGGCAUCCUUUUCUUCUGCCAUGUCAACUGAACCACACAACUUCGUUUCAUCAGAAAAUGUGCUGAGAGUGCACUCGAUCCCAUCACCUGUGUCACUGAUAAAGAUGUUAAAGAGUACUAGUCCCAAGACAGACCCAUGGGGGGCACCACUUAUCACCAACCUCCAUCUGUACAUACAGCUAUUGACCACAACCCUCUGGCUAUGACAUUCCAUCCAAAUUCUUUUCUGCUGAAUAGUCCACCCUUCAAACCCAUCUCUCUCAAUUUAAAGAUAAGGAUGUGGCUGGGGACCAUGUCAAAGGCUUUGGAGAAAUCCAAGUAGAUGACAUCAGUUGCCUUCCCUUUAUCCACCAAGGCCAUCCCUCCUAGAAGGCCACCAGAUUGGUCAGGCACGAUCUUCCCUUGGUGAAACCCUGCUGGCUGUCUCACCUGCUCAUCUCUUAGGUGUCUUAACAUGUCUUCCACGAGGAUCUGUUUCAUGAUCUUUCCAGGCACAAAGGUGAGGCUCACCAGCCUGAUGCUCAUGCAUUUCUGAGCUUCCGGCUCCUCUUAACUCCAUGAGACCCUUUUCCAGGAUUAAAUAAACCCAACAGAGAGGAACAUGCUUAUCCAUAGCACUGACAUCUGUAAGAGGAAAUUGCUGUAGUUUCACAUAUCUUAAUAACUGAAUAUUUCAUUAAGAGCCUGCAUGUCUGGACACUCGAUCAGAUCCUCAGUGAUCCAAAUCUGUCAAGCUUCUAUGGAGAAACCCCUGGCAAUCACAUUUUUUUAUCUUAAUCGACCCUUUGUCUCAUUGUCUCUAACACCAAUGAAACCACAAAUGGUGCUCCAAGAUCAUUUGCCUUGAUAAAAAUGGUAGCAAAUUUAAGAAACACAGAUAUGUAAGUCUUAUUACAAUCUUAAUCAGCAGCACCCAAAUCCAAACUGGAACCAUUAGCCUUCAAGGACAGACUAUUAAAAUAGGUUCUCCACCUCAACAAGAUAAACCUGUCCAUAAUUCAUAUUUGUUUCCAUGAGUAAAUCACUUUGAUCUUGAAUGCAGUCUUUCAACAAAUCAGAACAACGAGAAGAAAAAAAACAACCCCAAAACAUAACUAAGUAUUCAUAUGGAUCACUAAGACAGUGUAAGUAAAGAUAUGAAGUUAUGUACUGAUGCUGCUACCUAGAAAUGAAAUGAUUUGAUUUCACUGUUGCUUGAUCCUUAAACUUCAGUGUGAAACUCUACAGGAGUUUCUUCUGGAGAUGGCUGUUUUUCUUCUGAAUGAGGGCAUCCACAUGAGGGUUUAAUGCAUUGUAAUUUAUGUGCAUUAAACCUACAGCCUCAGAUCAUAACACAUUUCUUGACUGUCCCUAGUUAAACAAAACACAUGUAUUUAUUUGUGAUUGAAGUCAUAGCUGUCUUUCCUAGCACUUGUAGGUGUGGCUUAAUGUAUUGUCUUGACGUGCGUGUCUUUCACAAGCCGCGGAGCGAUGGCUAGUGUAUGAGGCAGAGUGCUCCAUCAGCUACUCCAGAAAGACGGAGCAUACAGUCAAAUAGCAUUUCUAUCCAUGAUUUCCAAAAUUCCAAAGCUAUUAUGGCUUGCA